GUAGGGAAUAUUGCACAAUGGGCGAAAGCCUGAUGCAGCAACGCCGCGUGCGCGAUGAAGGCCUUCGGGUCGUAAAGCGCUUUUCGGGGAGAUGAGGAAGGACAGUAUCCCCGGAAUAAGGAUCGGCUAACUACGUGCCAGCAGCCGCGGUAAAACGUAGGAUCCGAGCGUUAUCCGAAUUCACUGGGCGUAAAGCGCGUGCAGGCGGUCCGGUAAGUUGGAUGUGAAAUCUCCUGGCUCAACUGGGAGAGGACGUUCAAUACUGUCGGACUCGAGGACGGUAGAGGGAGGUAGAAUUCCCGGUGUAGUGGUGAAAUGCGUAGAUAUCGGGAGGAAUACCAGUGGCGAAGGCGGCCUCCUGGACCGUUCCUGACGCUCAGACGCGAAAGCUAGGGGAGCAAACGGGAUUAGAAACCCGAGUAGUCC
rnacentral:rRNA from 1 species